rnacentral:rRNA from 1 species
GAUGAACGCUAGCGGCAGGCCUAAUACAUGCAAGUCGAACGAUACUUUCCAGCUUGCUGGAAAGGAAAGUGGCGCACGGGUGCGUAACGCGUAUGCAACCUACCCUGAUCAGGGGGAUAGCCCGAAGAAAUCCGGAUUAACACCGCAUAAAAACACAGAGCAGCAUUGCACAAUGUUCAAAUAUUUAUAGGAUCAGGAUGGGCAUGCGUGUCAUUAGCUGGUUGGCGGGGUAACGGCCCACCAAGGCGACGAUGACUAGGGGAUCUGAGAGGAUGACCCCCCACACUGAGACUGAGACACGGACCAGACUCCUACGGGAGGCAGCAGUAAGGAAUAUUGGUCAAUGGAGGGAACUCUGAACCAGCCAUGCCGCGUGCAGGACGACGGCCCUCUGGGUUGUAAACUGCUUUUAUUCGGGAAUAAACCACAUUACGUGUAGUGUGCUGAAUGUACCGAAGGAAUAAGGAUCGGCUAACUCCGUGCCAGCCGCCGCAGUAAGAC